CUUGCACCCAAAGACUGUGGCUUCUCGUAGAAGCAGUUUAAAGAGUGGUGUGCACAGCAAGUGGGCCUUGUCGCCUUUGAGGCGCUGCGCAGUGCCUCUCAGACAAGCUUGGUAGUGGGCUCUUGGGCC
ensembl:snoRNA